rnacentral:rRNA from 1 species
UGCGUAGGCGGAGAUUUAAGUCAGUGGUGAAACUUUAGGGCUUAACCUUAAAAUUGCCGUUGAAACUGGAUUUCUUGAGUACGGUGGAGGUAGGCGGAAUUUGUGGUGUAGCGGUGAAAUGCUUAGAUAUCACGAAGAACUCCGAUUGCGAAGGCAGCUUACCGGACCGUAACUGACGCUGAGGCACGAAAGUGUGGGGAUCAAACA